rnacentral:rRNA from 1 species
UACGGAGGGUGCAAGCGUUAAUCGGAAUUACUGGGCGUAAAGCGUGCGCAGGCGGUUUGUUAAGUCCGUUGUGAAAGCCCCGAGCUCAACUUGGGAAUUGCAGUGGAUACUGGCAGGCUGGAGUACGGUAGAGGAAGGUGGAAUUCCCGGUGUAGCAGUGAAAUGCGUAGAGAUCGGGAGGAACACCAGUGGCGAAGGCGGCCUUCUGGACCUGUACUGACGCUCAUGCACGAAAGCGUGGGGAGCAAACAGG